AUGAGAAUAAAUCACCUCUCCUCUCUUAUCUUCUCCACCCCGAGUUGUGUGUGCACUUGCAGCUCAAGCUGGCUCAAGGUUUAUUUCAAUCCAUGCUUCCCCACCAAUCCUGUCCUGCCACCUCAGUUUGGGUUGGGAAAAGCUCAGGAGCAGCCCUGGAGUUGGCACUCGCACGGAUCCACUUGGCCACUGCGUUCAGGUUUCAGACAUGCAGAUUGUCACUGCUGCUUAUUAUGUGAGCAAGGACCUAAUUAUGAUUUCACAAUUUGUUUACUGGAUGCUCAGGAGUCAGAAGGUAACAAAAUAACUCUCCUGAUCUGA
rnacentral:lncRNA from 1 species